rnacentral:rRNA from 1 species
UACGUAGGAGGCAAGCGUUGUCCGGAAUUACUGGGCGUAAAGCGCGUGUAGGUGAUGGGACAAGUCUGCUGUGAAAGCGCCUGGCUUAACCGGGCGAGGUCGGCGGAAACUGUCCGACUCGAGGACGGUAGAGGGGGGUGGAAUUCCCGGUGUAGUGGUGAAAUGCGUAGAGAUCGGGAGGAACACCUGUGGCGAAGGCGGCCCCCUGGGCCGGCCCUGACACUGAGACGCGAAGGCGUGGGGAGCGAACGGG